UUAACCCUCUGGCUUUCAAAAAAAAGAAUCUUAUCAUUGGUAGAGAUAGGUUUGUCAUCCUUAUUUUUAUCUAUCUUAUUGCUGAUAUAAAAAUUUUUGUGAGUUUAUGGAUUUUGUAAACUGCACAAUUACUUUUCAAACACUUGAAAAUAUUAAAUGCUAUAAUAGUUUUACCAGGUCUUGGUAAAGUGUAACUUUUUCCAGGGAGACUUCUCAGACCUCCCAAUCUUUAUCGGUGCCCCUUCGUUGUGUUCCUGUGGCCACCUAUGCU
rnacentral:lncRNA from 1 species